ensembl:lncRNA MIR100HG mir-100-let-7a-2-mir-125b-1 cluster host gene
GCCAGUAAAGAUUAAAUGUGCUUCUCAAAGGCAGCCACUUCAUGCUGCUAUGUCGAAAGGGCCAUUAUUAUUAUUAUAUUUUAAUGGUAAAAGAGAAAAGGAGAGAGGUUGAGCGAGCGAGAGAGAAGCUAGGUGUGAUGAUGACAGACUAGCUUUUCUGAGAGGAAAAGGAAAAGGGAAGGGAGAGAAAAAGGAGAGCCUCUGAGCUCAACGGAGGAUUGUGCCUGAGAAGAACCCACAGAGAUACAGUUAAGCUAAUGAUCUCGAGAGGAUAUCGUCCUGGAUAAGGGUGGAGCCUACGCCCAAAAACAAGAUUACCUGAAAGAGAAAAGAAAGGGGGAAAACACACAGAGAUACAGUCGGGGAGGCCACAUGAAGAUGGAGGCAGAGACAGGAGUGAUGAGCCUGCAAGCCAAGGAAUGCCAAGGGCUGCCAGCAGCCAUGAGAAGCUGAGAGACACAGAGAACGAGUCCUCUGCCAGAGCCUCCAGAAGGAACUAACCCUGUCAAUACCUUGAUUUCGGACUUCUGGACUCCAGAACUAUAACCCUCCUUCCUCCACCUCACAAAAACUCACAAGCUGCAACCCUUCUGAUGUCCACUCCCACACAAACCAGCUUCAGGCCUUUUUCAAGAGUGCAGGAAAUUCUACCCCCCAAGUAUGGCACCUUGGCAUGCUGAGUAUUUUAAGCUGAAGGAAACAGAGAAAACCACAGAAGCAGAAAGGUCUUUCUGACCUCUCUUGAAGACCCUCAUGUGACAGGUGUCCUGCCCUACAUCCAGAGAGAAGGAAUGUUCCACAGACAGACUAAGAAGAAUCUGAAGAAUCAGGCCUUACUAAGUGCCCUCCAGCUCUGAUGUAGAUGGGAUGGAAUUCCAAGUGCUGGGAAUACUUCUAGCAGCUAAAGUUAAGAGCGUACCAGAUGUGUUCGAGAACCUUGAGUUGAUCUGAAAAGAGAAUCUGCUCAAGGAGAAAACAAUUGGAUGCUGUGGGGCACCACCUCCUUGAGGACCAAGGCACUCCAGCUGCCAGGAAUUUGGCUGCUAACCUCACACAGCUGAGCCUUCCAUGAAAAUUGCUCUCUGCCAAAGAGAACUUCCUAGUCCAAGGUCAUGUCUACUCUCCAGAGAUGUGACUGGAGUGAUUUGCACCCGGAUGCCUAGACUCGCCAUCUGCUCAAAGACUGCUCAGAAAGCCCUCCCAUGCAUUCCCCUGCUGCAUACCAGCCCACUCUGCCUGCAGCUGCUGUCUGCAGGACUUCAUAUCUAUGCCACACUGUGUAAAAGCUGUGCUUCAAGAAAUCACAAAAACAUUUUCCUGCACCUACUACACAGCCUGAGUGCGGCAUAAGUUGACCUUGCUUGCUAAGAAAUGGGGCAAGAAAUGCUUUUUUGUGUGUGUCAUGUCUGUUUGUUUUUCAAUUAAGAGAGGAAAGCAUUAGGCAGAUGGAAUGUACAUGUGAGGAUGAGGAGACAGAAAACAAGUAGCCCUUUCCAUCAAGAUAGAGGGUUUUCUGGGGUUGCUGGCUAUUGAAUGUCACUCCUGAUUUCUCUUUCCAAGGCACUGUACCACCAGCCUACUGAGAUUGUGUGGGAGCUUUCAUGGGGGU